GACGAACGCUGGCGGCGUGCUUAACACAUGCAAGUCGAACGGUAAGGCCCUUCGGGGUACACGAGUGGCGAGCGGGUGAGUAACACGGGGGUGAUCUGCCCUGCACUUCGGGAUAAGCCUGGGAAACGGGGUCUAAUACCGGAUAGGACCACUGCCUGCAUGGGUGGGGGUGGAAAGCUUUUGCGGUGUGGGAUGGGCCCGCGGCCUAUCAGCUUGUUGGUGGGGUGAUGGCCUACCAAGGCGACGACGGGUAGCCGGCCUGAGAGGGUGACCGGCCACACUGGGACUGAGAUACGGCCCAGACUCCUACGGGAGGCAGCAGUGGGGAAUAUUGCACAAUGGGCGCAGGCCUGAUGCAGCGACGCCGCGUGAGGGAUGACGGCCUUCGGGUUGUAAACCUCUUUCAGCACCGACGAAGCGCAAGUGACGGUAGGUGCAGAAGAAGGACCGGCCGACUACGUGCCAGCCGCCGCGGUAA
rnacentral:rRNA from 1 species